UUGAUUAAUUGUCAACGUGAGUGGGAACGCCUGGCUGACUUGAGUCAGCGUGGUUCUGGGCGGGAAGACCCACUUUUAGGAGGAUUGUUGUCCAAAUGGUACAAAAGGAGAAGGGCGGGAAGGCUUUCAGCUGACUUCCCUUGUAGGCGCUUUGGCUGUUCCCUUCCGGAAGCUCUGCUUUUCGCCUGCCUUGGGCUUUGUCUCCUGGCUUUCGGUGCAGAUUCCUCAGCUUCCAGCACCGACCUUUCGGCUGCCGCAGACUGACUUCUAGAGCUGACCCUUCGACCUCCGGCACAGGCCCCUCUGUCUUCUGUCACGGAUCCUUCGGCCUCCUGAUGCAGACUCGUUACGGGACAUUGCUGCGGACUCCCGGCCUUUGGCUGGACCCCUGGGAUCUGUAGCGCCUGGACGAUCUUUGGCUCGCUUCUACUUUUGACCCUGGGCGGCUGUUGUAGGCGAGUCUCGUGGGUUUCCGUGUCCGGCAUUAAAUCUGAUGCAGAGCAUGUGCAGUCUUUUCAGGAGCCUCGCCCCAGCCCUGCAAGCUCUGAACCAAUUAGCUUGAUGUUGAGUGAAAUAGUAGGCACCAGCAGAUGAAAAGGCCGGUCCAGGGUGACAACGAGAACCCCAGGGAGCGGUGAACCCAGCACAUGCCACACAGCUAUGAGGACAGAGAUGGAUCUGAACUCCUGACUCUUGAACUCAGAAAUUCCCCUCCUUUUGCUGCCAGCAGUGCAAAUGUCCCCAGUCUGCUAGGAGGACACCUAUUGGCCACAUCAGGGCCACAGUGCAGCUGUGUGGGACACCACUUGCAGAAUUGCUGCUGUAACAUGAAGUUGAAUUUCACCUUUGGGAAAGAGAUGACACGUGUGUGAAAAGCAUUUAACUCCUGGACACUUGGGACUGGAAAUCACAUGGAUCACAAUGACACACUGAAACACUUGGCCUUAGGGGGGAAAAUGUGUUGUUUAUUAUAGAAAUGAAAAGCUGAAAUGUACUGUCCUGUGACACAGGAUUUGAUGGUAUUUUAAAUUGUUACAAAAGAAAGGAAGGAAAGAGAGGGGGAUGCUAAUAUUUGUAGCACAGUAAGAAUGUUUGUAGCCAGAGAUGAAUUAUGAACACUUAAAUUAGAAUUUCCUGCUCUGAAGCCAGGCAUGGUGGCAAUGCCUGUAAUCUCAGCAUUCUGGGAGGCUGAGGCUGGAGGAUCACAAGUCUGAGCCCAGCCUGGGCAUCUUAGCAAUUUAGGGAGACCCUGUCUAUUAUAGUUUAUAUAUAGAUGUCCCCCCAAAGCCUCAUGUCCUCACAGGUGGGGGUUGGGAAGGUGAUUGGAUCAUGGGUAUGUGAUACUUAUUAGUGAAUUAGUCCACUGAUGUGUUUAUAGCUAAAUGUGAUGUUGAGAGUCGAAGCCUGAUCGAAGGAGGUGGAUCACUGGGGCCUUGGCCUAGAAGGAUCUAACUCUCUCCUCCUCCCUUGAUCCCUUUCUGCUUCCUGCCUACCCUGCUAUGGACUGUUUCUUCUCUGCCAUGCCACUUUGCUUUGGAGCCAGUCAACUAAGGACUGACACUUCUACAAACUGUGAGCCAAAAUCAACCUCUCCUCCUUAACUUCUGAGUGU